ACAUCCUGCUGGGGGUGCCCGAACAAGCCACGGGCUGAGAAACACCCUUAAGCACCUGAUCCGGUUCGCACCGGCGGAGGGAAGUGGGGAUCAUGCGAC
rnacentral:ncRNA from 2 species